CUGAAAACUUUCUAUAGUAAUCCAUUUAUUCAGUUAAAACCUCCUAGUAGAUAUUACUUUUAUUUUUUUUCUCUCAUUAAAACGGUAUGCUCGCUCCCUGAAUCGGUCUCGCAAGAAAGUCGCGAAGCAUAAACACGUGGGUCUUGACCACCGAGCACACGAGUCUGCUGGUCAGAUUCGGCUAUAUUCAUUUCAGUUAUAUUCCAGUUAUAUUCAUUUCACUGGAAUAUUCCCAAUUAUGUUUCUAUAAAUACGUAAUAUUGGACGGGGAACUUGGAAAGCCAACUACAAAAGUACUUGCUAAAGCACCGUAGUACUGAGCUAAACUACCCAAGUACUCAACAUAUAGUAACUUGUAUAAUUAAGUAAGCGAAAUGCGAAACUACAUUUGCUUAAUAUUCAAAAUUUAGAAACGUAUUAGGGAAUUCCAGCUUUUGAUUUAUGCGCGCAAGGGGUGACGGGAAGUAAGGUAUCAUAUUGCUGAUUGUGCUGAAAAUUUUCAAUAAAAAUUGCAGAAACUGUCAAUGUUUACAAGUAUAAGCUAUCACUCCGGGUUUGCACGGCCGCCAUUUUUAUUUUAAAUGAUACCUUACUUCCCAUCCCCCAGCACGCAUAAACUAAAAGCUCGAAUCACCUAUUGGGAAUAUUUACAAUAAACCUCAGAACCGCCGACAAAAAAAAAUAUCCACUAGAGGAUACAACAUAGACACUUGAGGAUCUCAUCCUUCUCAAGAGACCAUAUACAUGCGUGCCAUAUCAUUCUGGAUAGAAGGACAAUAACUGCAGUUCAAAUAAAUACCUCUAUUUCAGUUGGUGUGAAAGUACGACUACCAGCUAAAAGAGAAUCAGCUUGUGCCGUGCCAGGAGGUGGUUGAUAUGAAUUACCAAAACAGCUGUAAGAUUCUUGAUUACCAUUAGCGUUAUUACUGAUAUUCACAUCGGGACCACCCCCAAAGGACGGACCAUGAUUAGGGUCACAAUAAAUAGCAUAUUGUUCGUAGCCUGCAGGUUUCACGUUUGCAAUGAAUGGAGCAAGAUUUUCUUUACUUCGCAGAGAAAACACAAAUGACAAAUUGGAACGUUUAUAACCAUUACCU